ensembl:lncRNA
UCAAUAAACAUGAAUGUUUAUUUUCCCCAACAAUAUGCCCAAGUCAUUUUUUGCACAUAAAAUACUUUUGUGCAUUAGAUUGGAAGUAUUCGUUUGAAAAUGCUUAUUUCAGCACUGCAUGCACAUGUGAAACAGCAGAAACAUAACUGCCAGAGUAUACAAGUAAUAACCACGGCAGGCGCACUGUGCGAAACCGUGCCGGUUGCAUCAAAGACGCACAUACACUUUACCGGAAAUAUAUUGCAAAUAACCUUUAAGGAAGAUCAGUUAAGUAUACUUAUUGGAUGUGGCCUCCGCACGCGAGGAGGGACUCGAGACCGACGGUCGAGCCAAUGGAGAACGACGCACCCUGCGUUAUGGGAGUGCAGCGCCCCCCUUUGGCCAAGACCGGAAUGGCUGGAGAACUAGCAGCUGCCUACCGCCCCCUGGUGGCAUGGACAGCGGUUAGGCUGCCGGAGUGCUCUCGGGCAACGGCACUGGAGCCUCACCUGGCCCAGUUCCGGCUUGCAGAGUGGCACAACUGCUGGGGUGCCGAGGAGGCGGUCAUCCACCUUGCGCUGGCCUUGGAGGGGACGGCAGCACGGGUGCUGCUCGACCUGGACCAAGCAGCCCAGCGAGAC